rnacentral:rRNA from 1 species
AGAACGAACGCUGGCGGCAUGCCUAAUACAUGCAAGUCGAACGAGAUCUUCGGAUCUAGUGGCGCACGGGUGCGUAACGCGUGGGAAUCUACCCUUGGGUUCGGAAUAACAGUUGGAAACGACUGCUAAUACCGGAUGAUGACGAAAGUCCAAAGAUUUAUCGCCCAAGGAUGAGCCCGCGUAGGAUUAGCUAGUUGGUGAGGUAAAGGCUCACCAAGGCUACGAUCCUUAGCUGGUCUGAGAGGAUGAUCAGCCACACUGGGACUGAGACACGGCCCAGACUCCGUAGGGAGGCAGCAGUAGGGAAUAUUGGACAAGUGGGGGCAACCCGUGAUCCAGCAAUGCCGCGUGAGUGAUGAAGGCCGUUAGGUUGUAAAGCUCUUUUACCGAGAUAGAUAAUGACAGUAUCGGAGAAUAAGCUACCGGCUAACUCCGUGCCAGCAGCCG